rnacentral:lncRNA from 1 species
GGAGGAGACUGUAAAGCUAAGCCUCAAAUGGGAGAUAAUAGAAGGCUGAUGAAUACAUUAAGGAUUAGUCUCAAACAGCUCUGACCUCACAUUGGAGAAUGAUGUACUAUCAUCUUACCCCGCUACAAUUCAGUUAGGAAUUUCUCAUCUCAAGGGUGACAGAGGUUGGUGUUUUUGAUUAAUUUGUUUCUUAUCUGCUGUUUCUAGCUCUCCUCCCUUCCUAGUCUCAAAAACAUGAAAAUACAAGAGAUAAAGGAGCAGGCUUGCUGAUACACAGAACCUUGCUUUUAAUGAUUUAAACAUGAAAGAGAACAUGAGCCAAGGUUUUGUUGAAAACAAACAGAAAGAAAAGGCGGCUAGGUACCACAGUUGAUAAAGCAGUUGGCCUGGACUGUGGAAGAGCUGAAUUCAUAUCUGGGCUUAGAUACUCACUCACUAUGUGAUCCUGGGUUAUAGAUGAAGCAUAAUUUCUGAGGAGGUGAUAGCAUUAGCUCACCCUGAAUGAAAGAGAAGUGAUCACUAUUCAGCUGAAGGAUGGAUGAUGACAAACAUGCUAGAAGGUCUGUUCUUCCUUGGCCUAGCCCACUCUCCACUCUUCCACUGCUAGCAGCU